GGUCAUCGAAACCUUAGCGGUGUUCAUUUUGGAGUAACGCGUAAAAACACCACUAUAAGAAACUGACGCCAUUGUGGUUCCUAGAGAACAAGGACCUAACAUCAUUCACCAAUUGGAGGGAGCCAACAUGGCCGAAUGAGGGGCUUGGUUUUGCGGAGCCUCUAGGCCAGCAGAGGAUCCGCCCACCCAUGAGUCAGAGGAUUUUGCGAAGUCUACUAGAAUGACAGCUCAAACCUGUCCACGUCAACACCAGAGAACCACUAUGGAGAUCGCGUCUUUGGAACCCUCGCUGUACACGGUGAAAGCGGUCUUCAUUCUGGAUAACGAUGGCAAUAGACUUCUAUCAAAGUACUACGACACAGAGCUCUACCCCUCCAUGAAGGAGCAGAAGAACUUUGAAAAGAACGUUUUCAACAAGACACACAAAGCUGACACAGAUGAGAUUGCCUUUGUGGAGGGGAUGACGAUCGUGUAUAAGUGCAGCAUCGACCUAUUCUUCUACGUGGUGGGCAGUGCACAGGAGAAUGAGCUCAUGCUCAUGGCUGUACUGAACUGUCUGUUUGAGUCCCUCAGUCAAAUCCUAAGGAAAAAUGUGGAGAGAAGGUGUCUAUUGGACAACAUGGACGGAGUCUUCUUGGUAGUGGAUGAAAUUAUUGACGGGGGGGUGAUCUUGGAAAGCGACCCCCAGCAGGUCAUCCAGAAGGUCAAUUACAGGGCGGAUGAGAACCCACUGUCAGAGCAGAGCGUGGCUCAGGUGAGGUCAUACACGCGCACCCACACACAAAGCAAUGUCACCCUGCAUGUAUAGUAUGAUCAUCUUUUCUAUUGAUAGAACUUUAGCCGUUUAAUUUCAGCUCACACCUGAUGACAUAACCUUCUGUUCUACUGUCAUAUACAGUACAUUAAUUGCAUAUAAACUAUAACCUGAUUCUUAUCUUUCCAGUUACCAAUUUUCGUAAUUUCUAUACUAAAUGCUCUGUAGAAUAAAGCCACAGUAAACAAUAUAUGGAUAAUUGUCUCCCAGUGUUGUUCAAUUUUAAAAUGAUCAAAUAUUACUACUCAUAAUACCUGGUUGAUUUAAAUGAUAGGGUACAGUUAUAUGACAUGCCAUCAAUACUACAAUAGGUUUUACGUUUGACUAAAGUCACUGCAUUCAGUCAUAGAUUCAUCCAUUUGAAUCAUGUAUUCUUUAUGAAUGCCAAACACACUGCAUUCAUACAGAAUGCUUUCAAUAUCAUUUAGGAGAAUUGCCAGCUUUGCCAGCGUGUACUAACCUGCAUCUGAAUUUGAUGCCAUGCUCACACCUGCAUAGUCAAUGAUGGAAUGGCUCACAUUGCAUGAUCAGCAUGGCUGCUGAAUUGCUCUUACCUUCAUGCAAUGUUCUGCCUGUUACUUCCUCUUUCCUUCUUCUCCUAACCCUUUGGUUUAACCCUCACAGCACAUUACGGACAAAUUGGCUAUGACCUCCAAUAUAAUGCAGUCUGCCAAAGAACAAAUAAAGUGGUCAAUACUCAAAUGAUCUACACUGCCUGUCCGAAGGUCAAAUGUCUUACAGUAAUGGACACUACGAAUUUAUGUGUAAAUAUUAAGGGGUGUAUUUAACGUUUAUGCUUAAAUAGGCUAUAUUUCUAGUAAUUAGUGGCAAAUACAGCGUUUUUCCUAUUACGGCAAGAUGACAUUUGUAUUUAUUAUAUUGGAAAUAAUCUGUUUUAAUUUAUUUGAUUUGCAAUAAAAAUCUGAAGAAUUAUGCUAGAUUAUAGCAUAUGAUUUUGUUUAUUUCCCUUAACCCACACAAAAUACUCUGUAAAGAAUGUUUUAACCAAACCAAGAGAACAGAAUUUUGUUUUAAUAUGCGCAGGCCUACACAACUAGGGAAACUGUUGCUUAGGCUUCAAUGAUUAGGGAGUUAUGUUACAGUGUUAUACUACAUUUUAAAGCUUUGUAGGUUUAACAGAAAAAAGGCAAUAGCCUGUGUAUUGUUACAGUAGUUCAGUUUCUAGUUGAAAGUCAGGUUACCCCAUGUUCAUUUUAGAAUGAUUGUGUUGAUAAUAAAACGAAGUUGGCAUAGCUAGGUAGGCGUAUGUUUUUUUCUAAAGCACUGAGAACACCAUUAAGACCAUAAGAAUAAAAUAUAUUUUGUUACUAGCCUGUGAUGGACAAAUAAACUAUUUGAAUAUUUCCUCAUUUUAACGCCAAAUAGGAAGAUAGGCUAAUAAUUGUUCGUUUUGUUGAUUUAUAUUGCCAUCUGUUUUCUAAUUUGAGUCUGCCUGUUGUCAAGCUAAUUAAACAAUAUUUUUUUGUA